rnacentral:rRNA from 1 species
AAAUUGAAGAGUUUGAUCAUGGCUCAGAUUGAACGCUGGCGGCAGGCCUAACACAUGCAAGUCGAACGGUAACAGAAAGCAGCUUGCUGCUUUGCUGACGAGUGGCGGACGGGUGAGUAAUGUCUGGGAAACUGCCCGAUGGAGGGGGAUAACUACUGGAAACGGUAGCUAAUACCGCAUAACGUCGCAAGACCAAAGAGGGGGACCUUAGGGCCU